rnacentral:tRNA from 1 species
GGUGCUGUGGCUUAGCUGGUCAAAGCAUCUCUCUUGAAAACAGGGGUCCCUGGGUUCAAAUCCCAGCAGUACCU